UCAGCUUAAUGUUGCAAUAAUUGAUCUUUUUUCCUGUUUGUACCAUGUCAUUUCUGUGACUGGAGGACAACCCCCUUAUUUCUCAUUCCAUUUCACUGAAAAUGUUGCUGUUACAAUAUGAGUUAUCUCUACUUUAUGGCAUUUAUCAUUCAGAAAGAAGUUCAGUAUCUGAACUUUGCAGCCUCCAGCAUGUUAUCAGCUGCCAUCCAGGUGCAGAAAGAGAAGAGGAUUUAAACUUCCAAAACACUAUGACAAAUCAGUUAUGGAAAAAUAUGCCUCAAAAAGAAGGGCAACUCAGAACAUGGCACAGAGAACUGCAGGACAAGUAUAUCGACAUAAUUAAUGCAGAAGUUUUCAAGUGAACCUGAACCAGCAAGAACUCUCCACCCUCUACUGUGAACUUGUUGCUUUGUUCUACAGAAUCUCAGCUUUGAUUAGAA
rnacentral:lncRNA from 1 species